rnacentral:rRNA from 1 species
UAGGGAAUCUUCGGCAAUGGGGGCAACCCUGACCGAGCAACGCCGCGUGAGUGAAGAAGGUUUUCGGAUCGUAAAGCUCUGUUGUAAGAGAAGAACGUGUGUGAGAGUGGAAAGUUCACACAGUGGCGGUAACUUACCAGAAAGGGACGGCUAACUACGUGCCAC